rnacentral:sRNA from 1 species
CAAAAACAGUUGUAUUCAUUUAUUUACUUUUUUGUUUAUUCGUAUAACUAAUACCACAAAAUCUGUAUCUUAUAAAUGACCGUACUUGGAUAAUAAUGCUGGCUAUCCUUUUAUUGUAGUCCGCUUUCUUCCACAUCUGUUUGCAUCUGACCCAUAAAAAUAUUCCAAGAAAUGUUAAGGGUGUUGUUCAAUUAAACAAAGAUGUAAAUUUUAGUAGAUGCACACUACUGUUGCUACUGCAGUAUCAAAAAAAUGAAAUCAGCUUUCGUAAUCGUCCUUUUAGUAUUGGCUUUGACAUUAAGCCCUCUUUGUGUCCUUGGUCAAAAUUGUCAAAAUGUAUGCCAAGAAAGAGGUGGCGCCGUGUGCGGUUCCUUACGUCUACGAAAUGGUCGAGAUAUGUAUUGCACCUUUACGAACUUCUGCAGACUACUAAAGCGCCGUUGUGCUACCCGUGAAGAAUGGGGAGCUCUAGAUGGACGUUGUGGUCGAGAUUCUCCUAAUUGCCCCCGAGGACGUUAAGUUUGGUCACAAUAACAUAUGACGACAGGACCUUAAUAACCCUACUUUUGUUUUGAUGGAUUUUCUUUUAAAAUAUUUCAUAUGUUUAACAACCCUUUCUUGAUGCUAAUAAAUUCAAUAUCGAUGAACAAACACAAGCAAGCAAUUAAA